rnacentral:lncRNA from 1 species
UGGAUGUAUGAGUGAAUGAAUGAAUGCUCAGGAUCUUUCAGUAAAUCCGUGGCUGACUCAUGCCCAGAGUUCAGGUCUUCUAUGUUCCUUUCAUUGAUAGCUGCAUUGCCUUCCAGGAUUUCCCAUCUUUCAGAUUUCCAGAAAUUAUGUAUACAUAUAUACUGUGCCCUCUCAGCUGAUGGCUUCCUUUUCCUUUCUUCACAGCUCUCUGGCAUCAAUUUUUCCACUUCUCAGAAACACUUUGGCCCACAAAUUCCCAAAGGAACCUUGUUCUUCAUUCUGGAAAACACGAUGCCAACAUAUCAGAAUAAAGGACAGAUAGGAGCUUUUGCUUCAAAGUGAAUCACUUCAUGGAUGUUAAAGUGUCCUGAAAGAUUCUAAACUUCACAACUUUUGAUAGUAACUGUACUAUAUUUGCAACAUAUUUGCAUAUAUUAAUUGUUAUAUCUGAAAAGCAUGAGAUUGCUGUUUUAUAAAAUUAAAUGAAGUAAGUUAAUAUUUUAUUGCUAGGUAUAAGAACUGCUGAUGAGGACAUCUAUAGAAGUAGAAAAUUCUAAAUGUCCUACCAUCACCAAUAAGAAACUUUUGACAGUCCCGUAGAUACAAUAUAAUCACAUGGAAAACUGUAUACAGUAUAUUGUAUGUGAAGAUCCCACAAAAAGAAUAGGGACUGUAGGAAAUAUAAUCAUCUAAGCUACGGGUAAGAAGAACAUCAAGAUUCUUUAAAGCAAUGGCUCUCAAAGUGUGUUUCCUAGACCAGCAGCAUCAGCACCACAUGAAAGCUUAGGAAUGCAAACUCUCCAGCCCCGCCUCGGGCCUACUGGCUCAGCGACUGUGAGGGAGAGAAACACUAAAGUUGGCAAACCAUUGCCUUUAAGGGUGCAUAAGGUGUUAAUUUAGUACAAAAUUUGCAGUUUUCUGUGUUGUUGUGACUUUCUAUUUUUGCAGGAGUAGAAAAGUACCCCAUUGCAGUAGAGAUAAGUGGAUCUGAAACCCCAACAGCAGCUGAAGAGGUUCUUUAUGACAGCUGGAACCUGCACUCCAGUUGCCCUUGCACGUUUGUGGUUUAGCAGUCCCAGAGACAAAUCUGCCACUUCUGGCUUGCAUCCAACAAAAGUGCAGCUGUUCAUCAUUAGGAGAUGUUGGCUGAUGUACAUAGACAUGUAAGAAAGAUUCAAAGCGUCAUGGAUGGAUCACCAAUAACACCAGCAUAUGCAAGACCAGAGGAGAGUGUGUGAUCCAGGUCCUAGGAUUGACAAAUGAGGACUCAGUCCCUACUUGGGUUGGUGUUUUAUUUUGACUUUUUUCUGAAACAGCAGAGAAGCUUACCAAAUAAUCACAAGGAGAUAAGAAAGUGUUUACAUUUGUUUCAGUUGCUCUUCACUGCCUCCUUAUGACCAACACUCACAAUUCUAUGGUCUUAGCAGUUGCACUAAGAAGUCAGAAGAACCUGCUAUUGUGGGUUCAUAAUCUUUUAUUACCUUUCACUGAGAAACAAUUUAUACUACUAAACAAGAUAUCAGUUAUGAUGCUCAAGAUUUUAAGUGCCUUUUGAACUAAAAACAAACAAAAAAAUUGUGACCUGCAUAUAAUGUAAAUGGUUUAUCUUCAAGUCAAAAGCCACAGGUUUACCUCUGCAGCUUUACUCUUUCCUAAACAUUGCUUUCGUGUAUUGCUUAUGCAUGCUUUCUGCGUCCCAAAAAGUAUGUAGAGAAUAACAGUUUAAGUCCUCCAGAGGAGUUACUACCUCUACUACAUGUUUCAUUCUCAUUACAUGUUGCAUUGCUUAUUAAUAUCUGUGUUUUGUAGUGGACUUCAUGAGGACAGGUAAUGUUACCAACUGAAUUGUGUACCCCCAAAAUUCACAUGUUGAAACCCUAAUCCCCAAUGUGACUGUAUUUGAAGUAGGGCCUACAGCAGGUAAUUAAGGUUAAAUGAGGUCAUAAGUGUGGGGCCCUGAAUCGAUGAGAUUAGUGUCCUUAUAAGAAGAAACAGCAGAGACCUUGUUCUCUCCACCAUAUGAGGACACAGUGAGAAUGUAGCCAUCUGUGAGCAGGAAGGGAGGCCUCACCAGGAUCCAAAUGAGCCAGAACCUUAAUCUUGGACUUCUCACCCUGCAGAACUGUGAGAAAAUAAAUUUCUGUUGUUUAAGCCACAUAAUUUGUGGUAUUUUGUUAUGGCGGCCUGAGCAGACUAAUACAGAUACCAUGUCUAUCUUGUUCAUUAUCCUAUCUUCUGUGUUAUAGUUUAUCAAAUAUAUGUUUAGUAAGAUGCAUCCUAGUUAGAAGGCAUUGAACUUGGGCUUAAAUAACUGCUGCAUCGUGUUACAUUUCCAGGAUUUUUUCUCUCUUUCAUGAACUCUGUGAAGAAAUUUUACUUAGAAAAAACUGACACUGUCAUUGGCAUUACAAGAGGUGCUCUACAGGACUUGUGUGACCCACAGUAAUCCUGCAAAAAAGCCAUGUCAUCCACUCAUGGACAGAUUUAAGCUUAAAAUUCUUCCAGAGUUUGCAAUGGGAUAUCUCCCUUUAUCUUCUCUGUGGUACAGAGACAGUUUUCUGUUAAUUUCCACAUAAGGGCUUUCCAUGAACAUGGUAAACAAAAAAGGGAGAAAGCAACAAGUUAUAGCACUCUGAGUAGGUAGGUUUCAUGAGAGCAGAGAGGUGAUCAGGAAGGCAGAGAUGUGAACAGACCAGAUGUCUUGGGGGCUCAAGACCAGUAUACAUGGUGUGGGAACAAAUAUUAAGUCUUUUAUUUUUAUUUUUCAAAUAUUUUUUUAAAGGAUUUAAGCCAGGCACAGUGGUUCAUGCCUGUAAUCUCAGCUACUUCAAGAGGCUGAGGUGGGGCCGGGAGCGG